UAAACAGGAGCGUGAACGCCAUGAGGCCAGGAGCGUCGACCCGGGGCGUAGGGAGGCGCUACGGGCAAAGAUCAUCGAGCAGGCUCGCAAAUAUAUAGGCGUGCCCUACGCCAAGAAGUACUGGCCCCCUUCGUCCCCCGAGUACAGCUCCCCCAAGUUCCUGGACUGUUGUGGCCUGGUCCGGCAAGUGAUGCGUGACCUUCAGGAUGACCUUGGCUUUCGUCUGGGACCCUGGAACCAGUGCUACAUGUACGACACUCUCCCGGUCAGCCUGACCCAGGGGGAGAUGCAGCCCGGGGACCUGGUCUUCAUGGCAGGGUGCUACAAUAACCCCAGAAGUAAACGUCAGAAGCACGACAUGCUGCACGUGGAGAUCUGGCUGGGUCAGGGUGAGCAGACGAUCGGCUCGCGCUGGAACACGGGCAAGGUCGGCAUCUUCGACUCGUACAGGUUCACGCCGAGAAGUUUCCACAGCGAGACGUACAUCUUCAAGUCUAUAGACGCCUGGUUGAUGGGGCUCUGUCAUAGUCACUGCCCGGAACACUCGUGGGUUGUCUCCCGCUACAGCCCGUCCAAGAAAUCCAUCUUCAACAUGGACGGCGAGAGUCAGGACAACUCGACUCUGGAGAGUCAGGACAACUCGACUCUUGAGAGUCAGCGUGACCACCCAGACAGCCAGUGUGAUCAGCCAGCAGACGACGAGUCUGAUCUGGCCACUCCUGACGUCAUCGAAGAAACGGCCAAGAACGGGCAGCGGUCAUCUUUGAUAGUAUCCUCUCUACCUGACCUCACCGCCAAAGAAAAUCUCGAGACUCCGGAUGAAAAUUCCAAUGUGGUCACCCAGGUUAACUUAGAGACCAGGGCAAGCUGCGAUAACGAGAGAGGAGAAAGUAUAGACCCGGAUGUUAAUCAUAAUUAUAUCCGGUCUCUGCAGUUAACCCCAUCGACGAAGCAGAAUGGAAAGUUCAAGAACUUGUACCGGUUGUUUAAAUAUUUCAAACAGAAGCAGAGACUGGGAACUUUCGACGCGGAGGAUGCUAAAAAAGCGACAGCAAUGUUGUCGUUUGUGAGAGGUGAGCUGGCGAGCUCCGCCAGAGUGGAGCGGUUUAUUCAGGUGCUGUCUGAGGUUGACUGCCACUUGUGUCCCUCUGGUUGGCAUCAGGGUUGUCCGCCUGGUUGUCAACAACCCGAGAAAGGUUGCAAUUCGUGUGCGCCAGGUUCAAGCUGCUGGAUGUCUUCUGAUAAAGCCGAGAAGAAAAUCCAGAAAGAUUUGAACCAAGCACAGGGUCAAUACCAGGAGAGGCAACUCGUCCCGUUUCAAAAUAACCGGAAGUCCACCAGUAACCAAUCAGAAAACUUGAGCAGUAACGAGCAUGUUAAAAUUGACAAUCUGACCAAUCAGAACAGCGAUAUCAUUUUAGUGAAAAAUAUUAACCAAGACUUGAGUAUGUUGCAGGAAUGCUUAGAGACAAUCACAGAUGAAAAUGUUCUCGAGUCUGUACAAAACAACAAACUUGAGUUAACUGAGAUAGCAGUGCUGGGGGCCGGGGUACAGAAUAGUUGUGUGGUUAGAACAGGCGUGAAUCAAGUAACGGAGGAAACAAACGAAGCGAUCCAGUUUUACCGCCGUCUUGAUUUUGUCUUACACCAAGUUCUAUCCCAGCACCAGCAGGCCACUGUCAACAUCCGGGUCCACAAGAUCCUCUUCAUCAACUUCCUGCCCGUCUACCCGGAGCUGUGGGACGUCGCGGACUGGGCGGGGCACGACGACAACGUCAACAACAACAGCAGCCGGGAGCUGUGUCUAUCCGACCAGGAUAUCGAGGAGCAGACGUUCAGGAUCGGCGACCACGAGCUUCUGAGCAUCGUGCCGGACAUCAAGAGCAAAAGCAGCCUCCCGCCGCUACUGACCCUGAAGAAGAAAGUCCAGAUGACCAAGCAUCACGUGAUGAGGAAGCUGCUCCAGAGCGAGAACCUCCCGGUGUUGCCGAGUUCCGGGGUGGUCAAGGAUAUGAUCAACACGGGCGACAAUGAGACGGGGCCGGCCGCCAUGACCUCUGUGGAGUAUCAAAAAAUGUUGUUUGACAAGUCGCGGUGUUCCCGACACGAGGAGGACAGCGAGACCUCCACCCUGGGGCUCAACCCCCGACCCCAAUCUGACUCUGAUCUUUCCACUGGGGGUUUGAACAUCCGGUCGUGUUAUAAAGACCCCAGCGGGGAUUUUUCGGGAGCCGCGAAUGAAAAUCAGCAGGAGAAGGUCGAGGCGGUGGUGGAAGAGUGCCCAGUGAAAGAGAAUCCUUGGAAGUUAAGAGGAGCCGGGGAGAAAUACGGUAUCCGGUCUAAAGUUGCUUAUAAAAAAGGUGCGCGGUGCGAGAGUGAAAGGGCGUUCUCUGUUGAUCAGAUCAGCGAGGUCAGCGUCGGACACCCCGGUGCUCACUCCUUCCCCCGGGGGUUGGACUACAGGGCUCGCGCGCGUGCGCAUCGGGACACCAGCAUCGACGAGGAAGACUCCGACUCGGAGUCAGAAACAGAGUCGGAGGAGGACGAGGAGGAGGAGGCGGCGGAGUCAGUGAACGUCGUGUCGGAGCAGUUCAUGUCGCCGUGGUGCCUGCAGAAGUCGACUCGUCUGAUGGACAGCGAGGAGAUGAAGCAGCUGGACGACUUCCUGCUGGCCUGCGAUGACCUUGAGGAGAGGAAGGUCACCGCCAGAUCGCCGGCCCCCACGGUGGUCUCCACGGCGCUGAUGAAGAGGCUGAGGCUGCACGCCAACAUUGGUGGUGGAGGUGUGCACGCCAAGAAGGCAGUCGGCUCCGGCAGCGCAGGAAAAGGCAAAGGCGAAUCUAACGAGGCGGGGGGCGCCAGAGGAGGGGGAAGCGGUGGCAAGAAAGAGAAGGGGGGCGAGCACGGAGAAGGAGGAGGCGACGAUUUUUUCGGUAAAGGAAGUGACGACAGCAGCGGAGGAGGGGGAGGAGGGAAGAGAGGUAACAAGACAAGCAAACCAUCACCGUGUGCCCUCCCCGCAAACAUGCAGCCCACAUUCUACGUCAGCGGCGGGAACAACAGCAUACUAGUGGAAGGUCCCUUGUUGGAGCUGGGAUGGAAGAAAACUACGGACAAGCAUGAUGAGAGGUACAGGCUCAAGUGGGUGGAGAACAGGUGUAGGAUCAAUUACAUUGCUUUCCGUGAGGGUGAGCAGCUAGUUAACCAUAUACCAAAUUGUAAGCUUCUUACGAACAAACUCGGCCUACUGUGUAGUCUGCAAGAGUAUGAAAGGGUAACUCUGCUGACAAAAGGGAGGCUACCCAGAUUAAAAAUGGUUGACUUUGUUCCGGAAACUUUCAAGUUGGAUGAGAGGACAGAUAGGGAUAGAUUCCUGAGUGAAUAUAAAGAUGGGGAAACCUGGAUCUGUAAACCGACAAGCCUGAAUCAGGGAAAGGGCAUAUUCUUACUCCGAUCUCGUGAUGAGAUAAAUCAACUAUUGUCUGAGAGAGAUGCAAAGUCUUCAUGGACGCGGCAGGUUCAGAUGAGAAUAGUACAGAGAUAUAUACACAACCCAUUGCUCAUAGAGGGUAGAAAAUUUGAUAUUAGAGCCUACAUGUUUAUAGCAAGCACUGUCCCAUUUCUGGUACUGUUCCACAAUGGCUAUGUGAGACUGUCUUGUCAGAAGUAUAAUCAGGAUGAUACCAACCUCACCACCCACCUUACUAAUCAGUUUGUUCAGAAAAAAGAUCCAACCUACAAAGAUAAUAAGGAAGACACGGCCUGGACCAUGGACAAGCUGAACGACUAUGUCAACGAAACGGUUGCCAAAGAUAGAAAUAUUGAGAAGGAUUGGGUGUUUGGUGGCUUGACGAAACAAAUGCAGAGAAUAACACUUCAUUGUUUCAAUAGUGUCAAACACAAGCUCCAAUGUAAAGUUGGUUAUUUUGAUUUGUAUGGUAUGGAUUUUAUGGUCGACGCUGAUUUAAAGGUGUGGCUCAUUGAAAUCAAUGCUAACCCUGCCCUGUGGACUAACUGUCAAGCUCUUAAAGAGGCUAUCCCUUGUGUUGUUAGGGAUGCUCUGUAUCUUGCCAUUGAGUGCUUUGAUAAAAGCAGGAAAGGCCAGCCUUUGAUGCCCCUCAACUCAUUAGGGGGCUACAAUGUUUUAUACUGUGGCUCUCAUGCAUCAGGCAGCCAACGCCAGAUCCGCAGUGUGUCCCCUUUUAAGGACGCCGUAGACAUGGGUCGUCCUACAGGUGCCAAAACGCUUAAGUUCAUUCAAGAUAUCCAACGUGUGCAUAUUAGAAUAUUAGUUACUUGUACCUGGGCCAUGGUCGUCCUACCAUUUGCAUGCUAUCUGAUCAUGGCGGUCUUGAAAUUUUCCUAGGGUUUUAUCAUACUUGAGCAUAUUUUUUUUUACUGAUCAGCUAUUUUUUUUAUCCUUAACCUUGGCUUAUCUGUUGUGUAAGAUCAUGUUAAAUAGAUUUUUGUGCAAUUUUUGUGUUGUUUUUUUCCCAAGGGAAAUGACUCUAAAAGUUGUAAAAGAUUUUUAUUGUUUUAGGAUUAAUCUUUUAAAAGAUGUAAGGCUUGAUAUGUAAAUGAAAUUGCUUGAAUUUUGUUUUAAAUUUCGUAUAGUAUCAUUUUUUUUUAAACUGACUUAAAUUAGGGUUAUUGAAACUAACCAACAAUAUUAACGUCAUGUAUUUAUUUCCAUAUUGUUACUAUCUGAGCUUGUGCAUAAACUAAUGAUGAAUAUGUGUGACCAUCAUUGCCAUUUUCUUCUAGGCCGACGAAAACAUUUGCAGAGUAAACUUCAAGACCUAGGGUCAAUAGCACCAGCCUAGCCAUCCAGAAUUGUUCUCUUUAAUUUUUCUCUCUCUCUGCUUGAGUGACUACUGAAAUCUGGCCUGCUUACAAGACAGUCUAUAGAUAGUUGUAAAGAUCAUUGCCCUAUCCUCGACUCAGUGUGGUAGAAAUUUUUUUUUUUUUUGCUGUAAAUGGCUGGCAGUACUGAGGCUGAUUUUUUAAAAGUUUGAUACAGGUGGGUGAUAUUUUUGUUGCCAGGUUGUAUGAUCUCAGAAAUUUAUCCCGUGAUUUCUUUUGUUAGGUUGAUGAAACGGUGCUAACUGUAGGGAUUUUACAUCUAAUUUGAAGUUGAAAGUUAAGAUGACAUUUCACUGUGACCGACAGAGCCUAGUUCUCUCAUUAAGCUUAUCCUGACAAAAGAUGUAUUCCAUCAUAAUUUCAUUUUAACAGGCAUUAUUUUUUAAAAAGAUGUUCGUUGUUCUUUUUAUUAAAAAGAAAUCUCUCAUUGUAAAAAGAGAUGACGAUAAUCUUUUUCUUAAAAAGAUGACAUGUCUAUAAAAAGAAUGGAAAAGAAAUUGACAGUCUAAGAUUAAAUCAUCAACAAAAAAUAAAUUUAGUUUUAUAUUAAAUUUGUCUAUUUUUACAUUUAAGUACACAAUUCAAUUAAACAUAUGUUGUGAACUAUUGUUAUAAGUUAUAUACAUAUAUACAGAUGUAUACACUCUUUUGUUCAAGUCUGCAAUACAUUUAAUCCACAUUUACUGGUAUUAUUAAAAAUAGAUUUAGGCCUAUAUUAUUUCAAUACAAAAAUAAAUGACAGAUGUUGUACAUUUGUAAAAUUUUAUAAAGUUGUAGCGGUUUCUGUAAAAAUGAAAACCUUAAGGUGGUUGGUUAAAUUAAUAUUUUUUUUUUACAUUUUUAUGUUGUAAAAGUAAAGUAUUUUGGAUUAAAAAGCACUAACUAGUCAUAAAUAGAAUAAUUAAUUACAUUUAGUUUUGUAUUUAGUAUUAAAAACUGUCUAAACUUGAAACUAGGAGAUUAUUUAGGUUGUAAAACUAAGCUUAAAAAACAGGAUGAUUUUUUUAUCUAGACUAUUUAUUUGACAAAAGACUAAAUAAUUUUUUUUAAAUAUCAUAAAUUUAUCUCUAAUUUUUUUCUACUUAGUGUUCCACUCUGAAUGUGUAAAGAGCUAAUAUCCGAAAUCUUGGGCAGCCUAACCGCCAUUUAACUCCCCAGUGCUGUAGUUACAUGAAUGCCAGAUUUUUAUCUGAACCAUUUUCAACAGAUUGCCAUGCAAAUGGUAACUCACCCACACCUGGGAUCAGACGCCAGUCCCCACCCCGUGUGGUCAACAAGUUAAACAGCGGUCAGACUUAUGGUAGUCCUUACGCUUCAGCAUCUG